AGGGUCGUGGCUCAAUGGCAGAGCACCUUCUUUGAAUGCAGACGGUCCCAGAUUCAAUCCCCGGCGACUCUA